GGGUUGUGAGGUUAAGCGACUAAGCGUACACGGUGGAUGCCCUGGCAGUCAGAGGCGAUGAAGGACGUGCUAAUCUGCGAAAAGCGUCGGUAAGGUGAUAUGAACCGUUAUAACCGGCGAUGUCCGAAUGGGGAAACCCAGUGCAAUUCGUUGCACUAUCGUUAACUGAAUACAUAGGUUAACGAGGCGAACCGGGGGAACUGAAACAUCUAAGUACCCCGAGGAAAAGAAAUCAACCGAGAUUCCCCCAGUAGCGGCGAGCGAACGGGGAGCAGCCCAGAGUCUGAAUCAGCUUGUGUGUUAGUGGAACGGUCUGGAAAGUCCGACGGUACAGGGUGAUAGUCCCGUACACCAAAAUGCACAGGCUGUGAACUCGAAGAGUAGGGCGGGACACGUGGUAUCCUGUCUGAAUAUGGGGGGACCAUCCUCCAAGGCUAAAUACUCCUGACUGACCGAUAGUGAACCAGUACCGUGAGGGAAAGGCGAAAAGAACCCCGGCGAGGGGAGUGAAAAAGAACCUGAAACCGUGUACGUACAAGCAGUGGGAGCACCUUCGGGUGUGACUGCGUACCUUUUGUAUAAUGGGUCAGCGACUUAUAUUCUGUAGCAAGGUUAACCGUAUAGGGGAGCCGCAGGGAAACCGAGUCUUAACUGGGCGUUAAGUUGCAGGGUAUAGACCCGAAACCCGGUGAUCUAGCCAUGGGCAGGUUGAAGGUUGGGUAACACUAACUGGAGGACCGAACCGACUAAUGUUGAAAAAUUAGCGGAUGACUUGUGGCUGGGGGUGAAAGGCCAAUCAAACCGGGAGAUAGCUGGUUCUCCCCGAAAGCUAUUUAGGUAGCGCCUCGUGAAUUCAUCUUCGGGGGUAGAGCACUGUUUCGGCUAGGGGGUCAUCCCGACUUACCAACCCGAUGCAAACUACGAAUACCGAAGAAUGUUAUCACGGGAGACACACGGCGGGUGCUAACGUCCGUCGUGAAGAGGGAAACAACCCAGACCGCCAGCUAAGGUCCCAAAGUCAUGGUUAAGUGGGAAACGAUGUGGGAAGGCACAGACAGCCAGGAUGUUGGCUUAGAAGCAGCCAUCAUUUAAAGAAAGCGUAAUAGCUCACUGGUCGAGUCGGCCUGCGCGGAAGAUGUAACGGGGCUAAACCAUGCACCGAAGCUGCGGCAGCGACACUAUGUGUUGUUGGGUAGGGGAGCGUUCUGUAAGCCUGCGAAGGUGUGCUGUGAGGCAUGCUGGAGGUAUCAGAAGUGCGAAUGCUGACAUAAGUAACGAUAAAGCGGGUGAAAAGCCCGCUCGCCGGAAGACCAAGGGUUCCUGUCCAACGUUAAUCGGGGCAGGGUGAGUCGACCCCUAAGGCGAGGCCGAAAGGCGUAGUCGAUGGGAAACAGGUUAAUAUUCCUGUACUUGGUGUUACUGCGAAGGGGGGACGGAGAAGGCUAUGUUAGCCGGGCGACGGUUGUCCCGGUUUAAGCAUGUAGGCUGAUUGUCCAGGCAAAUCCGGAUAAUCAAGGCUGAGGUGUGAUGACGAGGCACUACGGUGCUGAAGUAACAAAUGCCCUGCUUCCAGGAAAAGCCUCUAAGCAUCAGGUAACAUUAAAUCGUACCCCAAACCGACACAGGUGGUCAGGUAGAGAAUACCAAGGCGCUUGAGAGAACUCGGGUGAAGGAACUAGGCAAAAUGGUGCCGUAACUUCGGGAGAAGGCACGCUGGUGUGUAGGUGAAGUCCCUGCGGAUGGAGCUGAGACCAGUCGAAGAUACCAGCUGGCUGCAACUGUUUAUUAAAAACACAGCACUGUGCAAACACGAAAGUGGACGUAUACGGUGUGACGCCUGCCCGGUGCCGGAAGGUUAAUUGAUGGGGUUAUCCGUAAGGAGAAGCUCUUGAUCGAAGCCCCGGUAAACGGCGGCCGUAACUAUAACGGUCCUAAGGUAGCGAAAUUCCUUGUCGGGUAAGUUCCGACCUGCACGAAUGGCGUAAUGAUGGCCAGGCUGUCUCCACCCGAGACUCAGUGAAAUUGAACUCGCUGUGAAGAUGCAGUGUACCCGCGGCAAGACGGAAAGACCCCGUGAACCUUUACUAUAGCUUGACACUGAACAUUGAGCCUUGAUGUGUAGGAUAGGUGGGAGGCUUUGAAGCGUGGACGCCAGUCUGCGUGGAGCCAACCUUGAAAUACCACCCUUUAAUGUUUGAUGUUCUAACGUUGGCCCCUUACCGGGGUUGCGGACAGUGUCUGGUGGGUAGUUUGACUGGGGCGGUCUCCUCCCAAAGCGUAACGGAGGAGCACGAAGGUUAGCUAAUCCUGGUCGGACAUCAGGAGGUUAGUGCAAUGGCAUAAGCUAGCUUGACUGCGAGCGUGACGGCGCGAGCAGGUGCGAAAGCAGGUCAUAGUGAUCCGGUGGUUCUGAAUGGAAGGGCCAUCGCUCAACGGAUAAAAGGUACUCCGGGGAUAACAGGCUGAUACCGCCCAAGAGUUCAUAUCGACGGCGGUGUUUGGCACCUCGAUGUCGGCUCAUCACAUCCUGGGGCUGAAGUAGGUCCCAAGGGUAUGGCUGUUCGCCAUUUAAAGUGGUACGCGAGCUGGGUUUAGAACGUCGUGAGACAGUUCGGUCCCUAUCUGCCGUGGGCGCUGGAGAAUUGAGGGGGGCUGCUCCUAGUACGAGAGGACCGGAGUGGACGCAUCACUGGUGUUCGGGUUGUCAUGCCAAUGGCACUGCCCGGUAGCUAAAUGCGGAAGAGAUAAGUGCUGAAAGCAUCUAAGCACGAAACUUGCCCCGAGAUGAGUUCUCCCUGAGACUUUAAGUCUCCUGAAGGAACGUUAAAGACGAUGACGUUGAUAGGCCGGGUGUGUAAGCGCAGCGAUGCGUUGAGCUAACCGGUACUAAUGAACCGUGAGGCUUAACCUUACAACGCCGAAG
rnacentral:rRNA from 1 species